AUGAGCAGGCCAGCCCCUCCACAAAAAAAGAAUCAUCCAGCCCGAAACGUCAAACAUGCCCAACUUAAGAAACCCUGGCUUCGAGCAGGAUGUGGACACAGUAGAAGGGAACUGAAGUCUACCCGAUCUGAAGAUGGAGGAGGACUUACCAGUGAAGGGGAUCCUCGAGGUACUCGGGAAAGAGGAGUACACAUGAUGGAAAACAAUCAUUUCAAAACUCGAGAGUUUAUUUUGGAUGACAUAUAAACUCCUGUAAGCAACAGAAAGUGUGCACAUCAACUGAACACAGAAAAAAUAUUGCACAGGGAUUAAGAGAGAAACUUUGGAGUCAAACAGGCUUUGAGUCUAACCCUGGACUCUACCAUUUUCCAAAUGGCAACUUCCCCAGGUGAGUCCCUUCACCUCUUCUUUUGUAUAACGGGACUAUUUCUAGCGUCGACCUCCUGGAUUAUACGUGAGUAUUAGGUGAAAUAAUAAAUCUAUAAAAGGUGUAUAGCAUAAGGUAAGUGCUCAGUAAAUAUUUACGCUUAUUAUUAGGUGAAGCCUGUGGCUGGAUCUACAUGGUACCUACCAUCCAAAGAAUACUGAAAAAAUGCCAGUAGUAAUUGAAUAAUUAAUGUACUUAGUGCUAAACAGCAGGUCACCUUUGAAAUUAUCCAUUUGAAUAAUGUUCUGAGUUUCCAAGUUUAUAUCUGAUUUCAACGUACAUUCUUUUAUUUGUUCAUUUAUUUGGCAAAGACUUUCUGAGCACACACAAUUGCUGAUACUAUCCUUGAGGAUGUGGGAGACUUCCCAGUCAACAUGAUCUUGGUAAACUCCAAUAUGAAGACUUGCCUACAUUGCAUGGGGACCAAACAUGACAUUUCUAAAGAAAUCCACAGGGAACUUGGACUGCAUUUUUUUUUUUUUUGCAUUCGCUCAGGGGGAUCAUAAAAUUAGUUUUUGGUAAGACAAAGGCUGCUCUCCACCUGUGAUAUGGGGAGAUUGGAACUUUCUUAUGUAGUCUUCUACAUGAAUAGACCCUUCUUCAGAGUAGUGAUCAAUGCAGGAGAAAACACUUUCAUUCCCAGAAAACAUCUGUGGGGUGAUUUUCUUGUGGUGCACACUCAUACAAUAGGAAUUGCUAUUUAUGUUCUUGUUUUCACAAAGUUUAAAACCGAACUUUAAAAUGGGAUCAAUGUAUGCUUUGCACAGAGUCAGGAUAACAAAAGUCUCGAAUUGGAAUUCUUAAAAUACUGACUUUCUUGUUCUAUGAAAAAAGUUAGCAAUGUCAAGUCAUGUGUGUAUAUUGUAUAUGUGUCAGCAAUUGCGUGUAUAUGUGUGGAAUGAAGUAAAUUAUAAAUUCAUUCAUAAUUUUAGCAGCAAAUUUACCUGUGGGCUAAUAACGACAUUAUUUGGCAAUUCAGACAAUGGUUCAUGAACUAGCAGGCAGGCAAACACGCCUCUCCACUGGAGAAGUGGCCAACUGUGCUAACAAAAUGAAGCGUGCGUCCUCCCCCUACCUGCUCUUUGUCGUGGCCAUCCCUUUCUGAUGACAGCAUCACCAAGCUGUUAAUUACGUAGGCCUCAAAACCUUACAAUUCCCUCUCUCUUGAUAACCUCUCACACAGAAAAUCCAUUGCCAAGUUCUGCUGAUUCUGCCUACUAUGGUGUCUUCAGACCCACGUUUCCUAAUAUCAGGCCCCUAGCACCUUUCACCUGGACAGUCACAGAGGUUUCCUAACUGGUGUCCCAGUCAUACUCUCUGACUUUCCCGUUUUUACUUUCCACAUUCCAUCUCACUCUCACACCAGGCUACUUGUGAUAAUGCAGAGAGCUAACCAUGCCAUUCUGCUCAAAAAACACACUGUUCUCAGAAUACAGUCCCAACUUGACAUUGAGGCCAUAAUCUCACCAUAAAUUCUUUCCAGUCUUAUUUGGACUGCUCUCUGUCUUCCCAGGUGCUCUACAAGUCAGCCACACAGGCUAUUCCAAGCUGUCUGCAGAAGACUUGCACUUUUCUGAGCUAUGUUUAUAUGCAUCCUUCCACCUGGAAUCACCCUCUCUCCUUCCCUACUUAUAAUACUCUCAAUGUCUGCCUGCCACCAAGCUUUCCCUCCCACCUACACCAGACUGACUUGAUGUUCCCUGGGUUUCCCAUAGCAGUUUGCUAUUCUCUCUAGUAAAAAGGUUACUCACAUAGGUUGCCCUGUGGCUUUCCUGUCCUAGGCAAUGAGCUCCCCGAGAGCAGAGACCAUGGCUUUGUUUACUGGUUUGUUAUCUUGUCAACUAGAGCAUUAAAUAAAUCCCUGGCAUCCGAGAAGAAUAUAGUAAAUACCAGUGGAACUUAAAUGUUCAUGAAAACACGGGAAUGGCCUGGGUGACUUCUGAAAUGUCCCUGCUGCCGUGGCAUCUGGCACAGACUCACUGGUGCCAGGCCUGUGUCUCAGACCUCCCCAAAUCUGUUUAGUAACACAGCUCAAUUUCAAAACCCAGAAGCAUAUGAGGCAACACACAUGGUUUUAUCAUAAGCAAUAGGUAUGCCUUCUCAAAACUCUUCUCCAAAACUAAACCUAGUGACAGACUAUGUCAUCCCAAACCCAAGAAAAUGGGACUUCCUCUGAAGUUAGGAAGAGACACGCAACCUCAUCAAUAAUCCUAUGCAACAGAGUCCUCCCAGCACAACACAGGAGAAAGUGGCACUUGAAUCCUGGCUUUGCCUCUCUCCCUAGUAGUAGAUCCUGGCCAAGUACUUAACCCUUUUGAGUUUCAGUUUCUCCAUCAGUGAAAUGAAAAUACGAACACCUGAGAUGGUGUCUGUGUUACGGGGGGUGCACACUAGACACUAGGCAGGUGUUGAUGUGCUCCUCCCCUCUUCACUGAGAGUGUUGUGGGGGGUGGGGUGGGGGGAGGGGGGGCAGC
rnacentral:lncRNA from 1 species